AGCCAACAGUGUCAGCCUCAGCCCCGGCCAGGCAGCAGCAGCAGCAGCCGAAAAACUAACGUAACAAGAGAGGGAGAGCGUCAAGAGAAGAGAGAACCUGUGAAAGAGAGCUAAAGCACAAAAGCACAAACAGAACAGAAUAGAGAAGUGCCAAACGCAUUUCUAAUAAGAGUGAAACGUCCAAUCGCACGGGGAGGUCGCGGUAGCGAUGUGAGCGAUAUUUACUGUGUGGGCAGAGUUGGAACUAUCGCCAGGCUGUUGUAUUGUCUUGUAUGCGGGCGAGCGAGGGGAGGAAAGUUUUACUUUUUAUGCUGUGCGCUCUUUACACGUGCCAAAGAGAAUGUAAGCUUACAAACGCUGACGUCGCAAAUGUUUGUGCAUAUUUUGUGCUUACGUGACUUUUUAACACAUGAUAAUGCUUAAGUAUGCAACUGGAAGCAAAAUAAGCAAACGGAAAUGAAGCAGGUUUCCAAAUUCCAAAUUUUGAAUAAUCGCAAAUUGUAUAUUUUAACAAAUAAAAAAGCCAGUUGUUUUGUUUUUAUAUCAUAUGAUUAACCUCCCGCUAGUUUGGGUCAACAAUAACAAUUGAGAGCUAAGCAUGUGUUCUGCCAUGGAAAGUUUUUAAUUUGAUUCAAUUAAAAGAACCGAUGUGGGGUCAGAUAUGUGUACAUAGUGUGUAUAUAUAAAUAAUAACAAAAUAAAAAUAAAGAGAAACCGCA